rnacentral:rRNA from 1 species
CCCGUACACAAAAGCGCAUGUGCUGUGAGCUCGAUGAGUAGGGCGGGACACGUGAUAUCCUGUCUGAAUAUGGGGGGACCAUCCUCCAAGGCUAAAUACUCCUGACUGACCGAUAGUGAACCAGUACCGUGAGGGAAAGGCGAAAAGAACCCCGGCGAGGGGAGUGAAAAAGAACCUGAAACCGUGUACGUACAAGCAGUGGGAGCACCCUUCGGGGUGUGACUGCGUACCUUUUGUAUAAUGGGUCAGCGACUUAUAUUCUGUAGCAAGGUUAACCGAAUAGGGGAGCCGGAGGGAAACCGAGUCUUAACCGGGCGUUAAGUUGCAGGGUAUAGACCCGAAACCCGGUGAUCUAGCCAUGGGCAGGUUGAAGGUUGGGUAACACUAACUGGAGGACCGAACCGACUAAUGUUGAAAAAUUAGCGGAUGACCUGUGGCUGGGGGUGAAAGGCCAAUCAAACCGGGAGAUAGCUGGUUCUCCCCGAAAGCUAUUUAGGUAGCGCCUCGUGAAUUCAUCUCCGGGGGUAGAGCACUGUUUCGGCUAGGGGGCCAUCCCGGCUUACCAACCCGAUGCAAACUGCGAAUACCGGAGAAUGUUAUCACGGGAGACACACGGCGGGUGCUAACGUCCGUCGUGAAGAGGGAAACAACCCAGACCGCCAGCUAAGGUCCCAAAGUCAUGGUUAAGUGGGAAACGAUGUGGGAAGGCCCAGACAGCCAGGAUGUUGGCUUAGAAGCAGCCAUCAUUUAAAGAAAGCGUAAUAGCUCACUGGUCGAGUCGGCCUGCGCGGAAGAUGUAACGGGGCUAAACCAU